UACGUAGGGGGCAAGCGUUGUCCGGAAUUAUUGGGCGUAAAGCGCGCGCAGGCGGCCGUUUAAGUCUGAUGUUUAAGCCCGGGGCUCAACCCCGGAUCGCAUUGGAAACUGGGUGGCUGGAGUGCAGAAGAGGAGAGUGGAAUUCCACGUGUAGCGGUGAAAUGCGUAGAGAUGUGGAGGAACACCAGUGGCGAAGGCGACUCUCUGGGCUGUAACUGACGCUGAGGCGCGAAAGCUAGGGGAGCAAACGGG
rnacentral:rRNA from 1 species